GAAUGUGAAGGUGAUCUGGCUGCGACAUCUGUCAUCCCAUUAUUCACCGGGGUUGAUUCCACUAAUCUGGCUGGCUAGGCAGGUGUCCCCUUCCUCACUCACCACUCCAGUGUGUCCCUCCUGAAGCUGAGUGCUUGGUGAAAGAGGACGGCCUUCCCCGAAUAGAGAGAUUGGUCUUCCAUCAAGGGUAUAUGAGUAACAGCGAUCCCCUGCCAGAACCUCCAAACUCGCUCUCAAGUUCCAUUUGUAGGAGAACGUAGGGUAGUCAAACUUCCAAGACUCCAGACACAUCCAAAUGAGACGCUACAUAUUGAAGUCUGCCUUUCUUU
rnacentral:snRNA from 1 species